rnacentral:tRNA from 2 species
UCCGCCGUGGUGUAAUGGCAGCACCUUGGAUUUUGGUUCCAAUGGUUCAGGUUCGAAUCCUGGCGGCGGAGC